rnacentral:rRNA from 1 species
GCCCGGUGAUUAUUAAACGGCUGCGGUACUCUGACCGUGCAAAGGUAGCAUAAUCAUUAGCCUGCUAAUUACAGGCUGGAAUCAAUGGCAAGACGAAGAAAAGACUGUCUCUUUCUAUUAUCUUUUAAUUUUUCCUUUUGGUGAAGAGACCAAAAUAAGUAAGUGGGACGAGAAGACCCUAUUGAGUUUUAGUUAUUUUAAGAUUUUAUAACUUUGGUUGGGGCAACUGUUUAUUUAAUAUAACAUAAAUAAAAAGAUUUAAAUCUAACCCUUAAUUAAGGAAUUAAAAAAAAUUACCAUAGGGAUAACAGCGUAAUUCUUUUUGAGAGUACAUAUUGACAAAAGAGUUUGCGACCUCGAUGUUGGAUCAAGUUUUCCUGAGGGUGCAGUAGUUUUCAAAGGUUGGUUUGUUCAACCAUAAAAAUCUU